rnacentral:lncRNA from 1 species
UCUAAGACUUGAGCGUAAUCAUCUCUCCCAAGGAUAUGGACACAUUAAUGAUUAUGUAAAAGUGGUAACCCCACUUGUGCUUAACGAUGAGUAUGACCUAUGAUCAAGUAUUCUUACUUGGCUCCUAUGUCAAUAUACUCAUAUAUAGAUGACUUUGUCAUCUCCCAAGUGCUUGAUAGCUACUAGGAUGUGUGUGCAUGUUCACCAUGAUUUAUUCAUCAUUCUUAUUGUGUGAGCAUGUUGGUCUGUAUGUGUUUGAUCAUUCGAGGACAUCCAAUUGUUGUUAUUUGGCUUUUGAUUUAUCUUUUGCCAAUUGGAUGGACAAGAAUGCCUAGGACCCUUCUCUAGCUAUCUAUGCUAUCUCAUCUCAAGUUUUAUUCAUGCUUCAUCAGAAAACUUGAACAAGCACUUGUCGAUCCCUCUGUGUGAAGGUGCACUUGGAGAUUCGUAUAGUCAAAGGCUGCCUUCCAAAACCUCCUUGAAAAACUCAAUGUGACCCACUCCUCAAACUCGGCGCCAUCAN